rnacentral:snRNA from 1 species
GUGCUCACUUCAGCAGCACAUAUACUAAAAAAAAUUGGAACGAUACAGAGAUUAGCAUGGCCCCUGCGCAAGGAUGACACGCAAAUUCGUGAAGUGUUCCAUAUAAAA